rnacentral:rRNA from 1 species
CACAAGCGGUGGAUGAUGUGGUUUAAUUCGAUGCAACGCGAAAACCUUACCCACCUUUGACAUGGCAGGAAUCCUAAAGAGAUUUGGAGUGCUCGAAAGAGAACCUGCACACAGGUGCUGCAUGGCUGUCGUCAGCUCGUGUCGUGAGAUGUUGGGUUAAGUCCCGCAACGAGCGCAACCCUUGCCAUUAGUUGCUACGAAAGGGCACUCUAAUGGGACUGCCGGUGACAAACCGGGGGAAGGUGGGGAUGACGUCAAGUCCUCAUGGCCCUUAUAGGUGGGGCUACACACGUCAUACAAUGGCCGGUACAGAGGGUAGCCAACCCGCGAGGGGGAGCCAAUCCCACAAAGCCGGUCGUAGUCCGGAUCGCAGUCUGCAACUCGACUGCGUGAAGUCGGAAUCGCUAGUAAUCGCGGAUCAGCAUGUCGCGGUGAAUACGUUCCCGGGUCUU